rnacentral:lncRNA from 1 species
AAAAAUUUAAUUAAUAUUUCUUACUUAUCAUUUCUUUUUAAUUAACUUCAAAAUAUCAGAUAGGUCGAAACAGAUGUAUCAGCCUUCAUACAACAAAAAUCUAUUCUUCUUUAUACUUGCAUAACUGGUUAUAAUAUGCACUAUUUUCAUAUACAAAAAAUGCUCCAAUCAGCUGUAAGACCAAAAAGCUUAAAAUCUGCAAAAUUUCUAACACUUUACAUCGGUGCACCUGUCCAUGAGUGAACUACGUUUGGCAUUGUAGACUGAGCACCUCUACUACUCUACAUUAUAUAGUCUUCUUACAAGCCCUAGGAAGUCCCUUCUUCAACCUCUUUAAACCUCGUAUAGCAUCAUACUUCUCUGUUUCUUCAAAAUCAUCAUCACCAAAUCAAGAAAAUGUAUUAGACGUGGGUAGAAAGUGAGACUGAGAAGUAGAUGAAUCUGACACCUAAUGCUUUUUCAGAGUUUUUAAUGGUCACAUGAAUAGGGAUGUAAAUAAGCCGGGCCGGCUCGUGAGCUGUUCAAGCUUAGCUUAAAUCAAGUUCAAGUUCUAGUCUAAUGAUGUUCAACUUGAAAAUUUAUCAAAC